rnacentral:rRNA from 1 species
GACGAACGCUGGCGGCGUGCUUAACACAUGCAAGUCGAGCGGUAAGGCCCCUUCCGGGGGGUACGACGAGCGGCGAACGGGGUGGAGUAAACACGUGAGCAAUCUGCCCUUCACUUUGGGAUAACUCUGGGAAACGAGAGCUAAUACCGAAUACGACCACUUCAGGCAUCUGAUGGUGGUGGAAAGUUCCGGCGGUGAAGGAUGAGCUCGCGGCCUAUCAGCUAGUUGGUGGAGUAACGGCCCACCAAGGCUUCGACGGGUAGCCGGCCUGAGAGGGUGACCGGCCACACUGGGACUGAGACACGGCCCAGACUCCUACGGGAGG